rnacentral:rRNA from 1 species
GGGCCCGCACAAGCGGUGGAGCAUGUGGUUCAAUUCGACGCAACGCGAAGAACCUUACCCAGGCUUGAACAGCGAGUGACCAGCGACGAAAGUCGCCUUCCGCAAGGACACUCGUAGAGGUGCUGCAUGGCUGUCGUCAGCUCGUGUCGUGAGAUGUUGGGUUAAGUCCCGCAACGAGCGCAACCCUUGUCUGCUGUUGCCAUCACGUUAUGGUGGGCACUCUGCAGAGACUGCCGGUGAUAAACCGGAGGAAGGUGGGGAUGACGUCAAGUCAGCAUGGCCUUUAUGUCUGGGGCUACACACGUGCUACAAUGGCCGGUACAAACCGUCGCGAUACCGUAAGGUGGAGCUAAUCGGAGAAAGCCGGUCUCAGUUCGGAUUGUAGGCUGCAACUCGCCUGCAUGAAGUUGGAAUCGCUAGUAAUCGCGGAUCAGCACGCCGCGGUGAAUACGUUCCCGGGCCUU